GACAGAGGGUGCAAGCGUUGUUCGGAAUUACUGGGCGUAAAGGGCGCGUAGGCGGUCUUGCAAGUCCCGUGUGAAAUCCCUCGGCUCAACUGAGGAAUGGCACGGGAAACUGCUUGGCUUGAGUUCGGGAGAGGGAAGCGGAAUUCCGGGUGUAGCGGUGAAAUGCGUAGAUAUCCGGAGGAACACCGGUGGCGAAGGCGGCUUCCUGGACCGACACUGACGCUGAGGCGCGAAAGCUAGGGGAGCAAACGGG
rnacentral:rRNA from 1 species